CUGUUAUCGCGGAAACGCGAUACAAUGAAUCUGACGCAGCGUCAGAAGUCAGCUGAGUCAUAGUAUUCGCAAUUCUAUGCGGAAAAGGAC
rfam:Candidatus Kaiserbacteria bacterium RIFCSPHIGHO2_12_FTLL_53_13 rifcsphigho2_12_scaffold_7056, whole genome shotgun sequence.